GUUUGCUUGAGUGAUUGGCUAAGGGGAGCAGGAUUUGAUGUGUAUAAGGAACCAACCUAAGAUGAACUGCAGAUGUAUGAGGAGUUGGAAAAGCUGGAAAUUGAUGGAGGGGAAUCUGCUGUUAGUGACACUGAGGAAUGAAGUGAAGGAGCUGGAUUGCUUGGAGGAAGCUUGAAGUCGGCACUCGGCUGAGUUUGGCAUUUUGGCAUUUGUUUGCUUGUUGGAAUACCAUUUUAUUUUCAUAUUUUGGUCUGUAAUUUGGCACCAUUAUGAACUCCCAUUCUCAGUUUCUGACUUUCUGCAUUUGGUUAAUUUGAACUUUAAGAAAUGCUUUGUAUGAGUGUAAUUUGAAUGUAUUCAGACCGAUUGUAUUAGUAGUUGGUAGUACUUAGUAUGUAUGUUUGAAUUGUUUCUUGA